GCAACGCGAAGAACCUUACCUGGUCUUGACAUCCCGGAGACCCUUAGGAAACUAGGGGUGCUUCCAUCUGGAGAAUCUGAGACAGGUGCUGCAUGGCUGUCGUCAGCUCGUGUCGUGAGAUGUUGGGUUAAGUCCCGCAACGAGCGCAACCCUUGCCUUUAGUUGCCAGCAGUUCGGCUGGGCACUCUAAAGGGACUGCCGGUGUUAAACCGGAGGAAGGUGGGGGAUGACGUCAAGUCCUCAUGGCCUUUAUGACCAGGGCUACACACGUACUACAAUGGCCGAUACAAAGGGCAGCGACACUGCUAGGUGAAGCCAAUCCCGUAAAAUCGGUCUCAGUCCGGAUUGGAGUCUGCAACUCGACUCCAUGAAGUUGGAGUUGCUAGUAAUCGCGAAUCAGAAUGUCGCGGUGAAUGCGUUCCCGGGUCUU
rnacentral:rRNA from 1 species